UCAUGUGGCUGGAGGCGGGCGGGGAAGAAAGCAAGGCUGGGAGGGGAAGGAGGAAAUGCGAGGGUGCCCGGGAGGGAGGAAGCGCGAGGGGUGCGCGAGUGCUAGCGUAAGGGGGACAUGGGCCCUGGAGUGGAAGCCUUGCGGGAGAGGAGGAGCAGAGGAGCAGUCUUAGGGUGUCAGAACCACCCGGAUGCGGCCCAAAAAAAGAACAGGAAAAAUCCAAGUCCUGCGAGAGGCAGUCAAAGGGAACUUUGAUGGUAGACUGUGGCUUCCAAAGAAAAAAUAAGAGUACAAGCUAUUUUUGGAAGAAAAGAAAAUGAGUAAACUAGUCAAAGAAGAUUGGUUUGGCAUAGAAUAUUCAUCCAUUAACUUAACUCAUCUGAUACUUGAAAAGGGCAAACUUGUUGGAACCAAACUCAAAAUAUUCACUAGCACGUUAUCUAUAAUGCUGUUCUUCCAGGAAAAUGAAGGGUCUCGCUCUGUCAGUGGUGCUAUUUCAGCUCACUGCAACCUCCACCUCCUGGGUUCAAGUGAUUCUCGUGCCUCAGCCUCUCCAGUAGGUAGGAUUACAGGCACAUGCCACCACACCCGGCUAAUUUUUAAUAGAGACAGGGUUUCACCAUGUUGGCCAGGCUGGUCUCGAACUUCUGAUCUCAAGUGAUCUGCCCGCCUCAGCCUCCCAAAGUGCUGGGAUUACAGGCAUGAGCCACCACACCCAGCUUAUUUUUAUCUAAGUUACACAGCAACACAAGAAACUCUUCUUAAUGAUAUAUCAUAAAGAGAGAUGGCAUAAAAUGAAACAUUGCAUAAUGGCAUUCAUUUUAAAUUAAACCUAAAUAUGUAACUAUCCAAGGUCUAAUUAGUUAUGGAUAUUCUUAGUGUACAAUAAAACUGCAUUCAUCUGGACACCAAAAAUGUUGAAUCAUUUGCCUUUAGAAGAUGCUUUGAGAAAAAGAUUGGUCUUUGGAGACUCAAACAAAAAGAUCCUGGUGUUCAAAGGAUAUGUGUUUAAGAAUAAGGAUUUAUGAAGUUGAGGUCAUGAGAGGAGUCUCAGAAGACUCAAAUCAAGGAGUGGUAGAGAUGGUCAUGUUCUUAUAAUAGAGUAACAUAGGCAUUGGCUAAAAAAGAUCUACAGGAUGUUUAGAUAGUGAUGGGUAGGCAGGUUAGACACUGUGAAUACUGAGUUUAAGAACUUUGAACCACAACAGUGUACUCCGGGACCCAGCAUUGGUGGAGAAGCAUUGAGAGAUCUGAGCCUGGCUGGUUAGUGUGGAACGAAGAAUCACAGAAAGCUAAAAGACAUACCUCCUUCCUCAAAACAACAUUAUCCUUACCUGGUAACUAUUCAAAAAGUCCACUUUAAUUUUUUUUGAAAGUCUUUCUUUAAAGGCUAGAUGAUAAUAAGUUGUACUAUGGUGAUAUGUUGGUUUUAGACACAAAUUUCAUUUAAAACUUAGAUUUCAUAUUUGGAACUUUUUAUCAGGUUGGUUCUGUUACUUGAGGUGCUAUCCACAUUUUGAAGUUGUUCUUAAUUUAUAAUGGUAAGGGAAGUUUUUAAAUCAAGGUAAACAAUUUGCUCCUAAAUAGAAACAGACUGAAGUUGAUUAUCAAAAUCUUAGCAUGGCAAGCUUUCAUUUAUUUACAAUGACAAUGUAGGUAUUUAUAAUCACCCUUAAAUUGUGACAUAAUUUUUUUUAAAAAAACAUACAUAUGACAUCCUAGCCAGAUCAAUCAGGCAAGAGAAAAAAUAAAAGGCAUCCAAAUUUGAAAAGAGGAAGUCAAAUUAUUUAAUAGCAGUACGAUCUUAUACCUAGAAAACUUUAAAGACUCCUCCAAAGACUACUAGAUUUAAUAAGUGAUUUAGUAACAUUUUGAGAUAUAAGAUCAGUGUACACAGAACAGUUGCAUUUUUAUACACCAAUAACAAGCUGAGAACCAAAGCAAGAAGUCAAUUCCAUUUAGGAUAGCUACAAAAAACAAAACAAAAAAACACACACAAGAUGCCUAGGAAUGUAUUUAACCAAGAAGGUGGAAGAUCUCUGUAAGGAAAACUAUAAAACAUUGAUGAAAGAAAUUGUAAAUGACACAAACAAAUGGAAACAUCCCAUGCUUAUGGAUUGGAAGAAUCAAUAUUGUUAAAAUGGCCAUAUUGCCUAAAGCAAGGCAAUCUACAGAUUCAAUGCAAUUCCUAUCAAAAUACCAACUUCAUUUUUCACAAAAUUAGAAAAAAACAAUUCUAAGAUUCGUAUUAACCAGAAAAGAUCCCAAAUAGCCAAAGUAAUCCUGAGCACAAAGAACAAAGCUGGAGGUAUCACAUUACUGGACUUCAAAUUAUACUACAAGGCAAGAGUAACCGAAACAGGAUGGUACUAGUAUAAAAAUAGACACAUAGAUCAAGGUAACAGUAUAGAGAAUUUGGAAAUAAAGCCAAUUACCUACAGCCAACUGGUCUUUGACAAGAUUGACAAAAGCAUACAUUGGGAAAAGGACAUGCUAUUCAAUAAAUGGUGCUGGGAAAAUGUGGAUUGCCAUAUUCAGAAUGAAAGUGGACCCCUAUCUCUCACCAUAUACAAAAAUUAAGAUUGAUUAAAUACUUAAAUGUAAGACCUGAAAAUAUAAAAAUACUAGAAGAAAACCUAACCAAAAACUUUGCCAGACAUUGGCCUUGGCAAAGAAUUCAUGACUAAGACCUCAAAAGCAAAUGCUACAAAACCAAAAAUAAACAAAUGGGACUUGAUUAAACUAAAAGCUAUUGCACUGCAAAAUAAAAAACAGAGUGAACAGGCAUCCUGAACAAUGGGAGAAAAUAUUUGCAAGCCAUGCACCAGACAAGGGACUAAUAUCCAGAAUCUGCAAGGAACUCAAACAACUCAACAACAACAAAAACCAAGUAACCACAUUAAAAAGGGGGCAAAAGACAUGAGCAGACAUUUUUCAAAAAGAGACAUAUAAAUGGUCAGCAUCACUAAUCAUCAGAGAAAUGCAAAUUAAAACCACAAUGAGAUAUGUAAGUCAGAAUGGCUAUUAUUUAAAAAAAAAACAUGUUGGCAAGAAAAGGGAACACUUAUACACUGUUGUUGGGAAUGUAAAUUAGUACAACCUCUAUGGAAAACGGUAUACAGAUUUCUCAGAAAACUAAAAACUAUCAUUUGAUCCAGCAAUCCCACCCAAAGGAAAAUAAAUCAUUAUAUCAAAAAGAUACCUGCACUUGUAGGUAUCUAUGGCACUGUUCACAAUUUCAAAGAUAUAGACCUAAGUUUCCAUCAAUGGAUGAUUGGAUAAAGAAAAUGUGUAUAUCUAUACCAUGUAUACUUAGCCAUAAAAAAGAAUGAAAUCAUGUUUUUUGCAGCAACAUGGAUGGAACUGGAAGCCAUUAUCUUAAGUGAAAUAGCUCUGAAAGUCAAAUACCACAUGUUCUCAUUUGUGAGAGCUAAAAAAUGUGUACACAUUGACGUAGAGUGUAGAAGAACAGACACUGGACACUUGGGAGGACGGGAGGGUUGGGAAGGGAGUGAGGGAUGAGAAAUUACUUAAUGGGUACAACAUACACUAUUUGGAUGAUGGUUACACUAAAAGCCCAGACUUCAUUACUGUGUAAUAUAUCUGUGUAUCAAAACUACACUUGUAUCCCCAAAUUUAUACGAAUAAAAAAAUGGGCCUCUGAAUUUGGAACGCCAGACUUUGAUAUCCUAAGAAUAUAUCUCUAUUUUGAUGUGUAUAUUUCAAAAUUAUCAAGUGUAUAUAUUUUAAGUCGCUUACAGUUUUCAAAAGAAACACUUUGUGCUUGUGUUGUGGCUUCUAUAUAUGGAUUGAGUAGAACAUCAUAUAGAUGUCCUUCUCACAGUAACACAGUUGGAGGAUGGCAGGCCUGUAAUUAAGGAGGAGUGAUGUAUAAAACUGAAUUCAAAGCAGUUAGCUUAUUUCAUCAUCCUAAAAUGUAUCAAACAUCAGUUAAUAUAGGAUGUUUACUUGAAGGACAAAUCCCUCAGAAAUGCUCGCAGAGGCUGGAUGAAGAUCAGUCCUAAACAUCAUUAAAUCUUGUUUUGG